GAUGAAGAACGUAGCAAAAUGCGAUAAGUAAUGUGAAUUGCAGAAUUCAGUGAAUCAUCGAAUCUUUGAACGCACAUUGCGCCCGCCAGUAUUCUGGCGGGCAUGCCUGUUCGAGCGUCAUUUCAACCCUCAAGCACAGCUUGGUGUUGGGACUCGCGUUAAUUCGCGUUCCCCAAAUUGAUUGGCGGUCACGUCGAGCUUCCAUAGCGUAGUAGUAAAACCCUCGUUACUGGUAAUCGUCGCGGCCACGCCGUUAAACCCCAUCUUCUGAAUGUUGACCUCGGAUCAGGUAGGAAUACCCGCUGAACUUAAGCAUAUCAAUAAGCGGAGGA
rnacentral:misc_RNA from 1 species